AGAACUGUACAGCCGCAAGGUUUGACACGUGGCGCCUAGGUGCUGGCUGGAUCCCUAUUAUGUAUAUAAAUAGUACAGCCGCCCGGCUAUAAUAGAUUUUAAAAUUUUUUUUUUUGAAAUAGUAUAGCCGCGCGGCUAUACUCGGUUUUAACCCCUUUUUUUGUUUUUUUUAAAAUGUUCAGAACAGUACGGCCGCAUGGUUUGACACGUGGCGCCUAGGUGCUGGCUGGAUCCCUAUUAUGUAUAUAAAUAGUAUAGCCGCCCGGCUAUACUAGAUUUUCUUAAUUUUUUUUUAAAUAGUAUAGCCGCGCGGCUGUACCCUGCUAACCUAGCGAAUUUUGAAAAUAUAAAAUCAGUUUCUUUACUUUUGAUUUUUGUUGCCAACUUCUUUAAUUUCAUAUAUGUAAUUAAUUUAUAUCUUAGCCUUUUUGAAUUACUUGAAUUAGUAAGUACUUGAAGUUCAAUUUUUUUAAAUAUAUUUGAAGCCCUUGAAUUACUUUAAUUAAGGUCUUGAAGGGCUUAAUGAAUACAUUUAGAGACCUCGAAGGUUACGUAUUAUACAUGUACGUACGUGUUUUUCAUGUUUAACACACGUAUACACGCACAUAUUAUGGAAUAAAAAUAAUAUAUAUUUAAAAAAUACAGUAUAGUGACCGAAUUUUUGGGUUGUAAUGUGCCAAGAUAUUGCCGAAUCAAACACAUACGUAUUUAAUUCGCAUUUUUUUCCCUUCCGUAUUUUACUAACUAUGAAUGAAUGUGAGAGCUCACUUGUUCUAACAAAAAUGCAAGAUAUAUAUUAAGUAAUAUCAUUUAUGAAGUUAAUUAAAAUAUUUAAUAUCAAUUAUUCACUAGAUAAAUAAUAGGUAGGACCUAAUUCAUAAUUCAAGUAAUUAAAUCAGGCUAAGAGAUUGUUUAAUUACUAAAAAUAACCUUUUUUUUUUCUUAAAAAACAUUAUUGACCCUUUUUAAAAUAUAAAAAUAGUAUAGCCGCACGGCUAUACGCGCUUUAAACCCUUUUUUUUCCAGAUUUUAAAAACAGUACAGCCGCAUGGUUUGACACGUGGCGCCUAGGUGCUGGCUAGAUUUUUUAAAUUUUUUUUAAAAUAGUAUAGCCGAGCGGCUAUACUCGCUUUUAACCCCUUUUUUUUUUUGAAAAAAAAAAUGUUCAGAACUGUACAGCCGCAAGGUUUGACACGUGGCGCCUAGGUGCUGGCUGGAUCCCUAUUAUGUACAUAAAUAGUACAGCCGCCCGGCUAUAAUAGAUUUUUAAAUUUUUUUUAAAAAUAGUAUAGCCGCGCGGCUAUACUCGCUUUUAAACCCUUUUUUUUUUUUUUUUUUUUUUAUAAAUGUUCAGAACAGUACGGCCGCAUGGUUUGACACGUGGCGCCUAGGUGCUGGCUGGAUCCCUAUUAUGUAUAUAAAUAGUACAGCCGCCCGGCUAUAAUAGAUUUUUAAAUUUUUUUUUUUGAAAUAGUAUAGCCGCGCGGCUAUACUCGGUUUUAACCCCUUUUUUUUGUUUUUUUUAAAAUGUUCAGAACAGUACGGCCGCAUGGUUUGACACGUGGCGCCUAGGUGCUGGCUGGAUCCCUAUUGUGUAUAUAAAUAGUAUAGCCGCCCGGCUAUACUAGAUUUUCUUAAUUUUUUUUUAAAUAGUAUAGCCGCGCGGCUGUACCCUGCUAACCUAGCGAAUUUUGAAAAUAUAAAAUCAGUUUCUUUACUUUUGAUUUUUGUUGCCAACUUCUUUAAUUUCAUAUAUGUAAUUAAUUUAUAUCUUAGCCUUUUUGAAUUACUUGAAUUAGUAAGUACUUGAAGUUCAAUUUUUUUAAAUAUAUUUGAAGCCCUUGAAUUACUUUAAUUAAGGUCUUGAAGGGCUUAAUGAAUACAUUUAGAGACCUCGAAGGUUACGUAUUAUACAUGUACGUACGUGUUUUUCAUGUUUAACACACGUAUACACGCACAUAUUAUGGAAUAAAAAUAAUAUAUAUUUAAAAAAUACAGUAUAGUGACCGAAUUUUUGGGUUGUAAUGUGCCAAGAUAUUGCCGAAUCAAACACAUACGUAUUUAAUUCGCAUUUUUUUCCCUUCCGUAUUUUACUAACUAUGAAUGAAUGUGAGAGCUCACUUGUUCUAACAAAAAUGCAAGAUAUAUAUUAAGUAAUAUCAUUUAUGAAGUUAAUUAAAAUAUUUAAUAUCAAUUAUUCACUAGAUAAAUAAUAGGUAGGACCUAAUUCAUAAUUCAAGUAAUUAAAUCAGGCUAAGAGAUUGUUUAAUUACUAAAAAUAACCUUUUUUUUUUCUUAAAAAACAUUAUUGACCCUUUUUAAAAUAUAAAAAUAGUAUAGCCGCACGGCUAUACGCGCUUUAAACCCUUUUUUUUCCAGAUUUUAAAAACAGUACAGCCGCAUGGUUUGACACGUGGCGCCUAGGUGCUGGCUAGAUUUUUUAAAUUUUUUUUAAAAUAGUAUAGCCGAGCGGCUAUACUCGCUUUUAACCCCUUUUUUUUUUUGAAAAAAAAAAUGUUCAGAACUGUACAGCCGCAAGGUUUGACACGUGGCGCCUAGGUGCUGGCUGGAUCCCUAUUAUGUACAUAAAUAGUACAGCCGCCCGGCUAUAAUAGAUUUUUAAAUUUUUUUUAAAAAUAGUAUAGCCGCGCGGCUAUACUCGCUUUUAAACCCUUUUUUUUUUUUUUUUUUUUUUAUAAAUGUUCAGAACAGUACGGCCGCAUGGUUUGACACGUGGCGCCUAGGUGCUGGCUGGAUCCCUAUUAUGUAUAUAAAUAGUACAGCCGCCCGGCUAUAAUAGAUUUUUAAAUUUUUUUUUUUGAAAUAGUAUAGCCGCGCGGCUAUACUCGGUUUUAACCCCUUUUUUUUGUUUUUUUUAAAAUGUUCAGAACAGUACGGCCGCAUGGUUUGACACGUGGCGCCUAGGUGCUGGCUGGAUCCCUAUUGUGUAUAUAAAUAGUAUAGCCGCCCGGCUAUACUAGAUUUUCUUAAUUUUUUUUUAAAUAGUAUAGCCGCGCGGCUGUACCCUGCUAACCUAGCGAAUUUUGAAAAUAUAAAAUCAGUUUCUUUACUUUUGAUUUUUGUUGCCAACUUCUUUAAUUUCAUAUAUGUAAUUAAUUUAUAUCUUAGCCUUUUUGAAUUACUUGAAUUAGUAAGUACUUGAAGUUCAAUUUUUUUAAAUAUAUUUGAAGCCCUUGAAUUACUUUAAUUAAGGUCUUGAAGGGCUUAAUGAAUACAUUUAGAGACCUCGAAGGUUACGUAUUAUACAUGUACGUACGUGUUUUUCAUGUUUAACACACGUAUACACGCACAUAUUAUGGAAUAAAAAUAAUAUAUAUUUAAAAAAUACAGUAUAGUGACCGAAUUUUUGGGUUGUAAUGUGCCAAGAUAUUGCCGAAUCAAACACAUACGUAUUUAAUUCGCAUUUUUUUCCCUUCCGUAUUUUACUAACUAUGAAUGAAUGUGAGAGCUCACUUGUUCUAACAAAAAUGCAAGAUAUAUAUUAAGUAAUAUCAUUUAUGAAGUUAAUUAAAAUAUUUAAUAUCAAUUAUUCACUAGAUAAAUAAUAGGUAGGACCUAAUUCAUAAUUCAAGUAAUUAAAUCAGGCUAAGAGAUUGUUUAAUUACUAAAAAUAACCUUUUUUUUUUUCUUAAAAAACAUUAUUGACCCUUUUUAAAAUAUAAAAAUAGUAUAGCCGCACGGCUAUACUCGCUUUAAACCCUUUUUUUUCCAGAUUUUAAAAACAGUACAGCCGCAUGGUUUGACACGUGGCGCCUAGGUGCUGGCUAGAUUUUUUUAAUUUUUUUAAAAAUAGUAUAGCCGAGCGGCUAUACUCGCUUCAAAAAAAAAAUGUUCAGAACUGUACAGCCGCAAGGUUUGACACGUGGCGCCUGGGUGCUGGCUGGAUCCCUAUUAUGUAUAUAAAUAGUACAGCCGCCCGGCUAUAAUAGAUUUUUAAAUUUUUUUUAAAAAUAGUAUAGCCGCGCGGCUAUACUCGCUUUUAAACCCUUUUUUUUUUUUUUUUUUUUUUUUUUAUAAAUGUUCAGAACAGUACGGCCGCAUGGUUUGACACGUCGCGCCUAGGUGCUGGCUGGAUCCCUAUUAUGUAUAUAAAUAGUACAGCCGCCCGGGUAUAAUAGAUUUUUAAAAUUUUUUUUUUGAAAUAGUAUAGCCGCGCGGCUAUACUCGGUUUUAACCCCUUUUUGUUUUUUAAAAAAUGUUCAAAACAGUACGGCCGCAUGGUUUGACACGUGGCGCCCAAGUGCUGGCUGGAUCCCUAUUGUGUAUAUAAAUAGUAUAGCCGCCCGGCUAUACUAGAUUUUCUUAAUUUUUUUUUAAAUAGUAUAGCCGCGCGGCUUUACCCUGCUAACCUAGCGAAUUUUGAAAAUAUAAAAUCAGUUUCUUUACUUUUGAUUUUUGUUGCCAACUUCUUUAAUUUCAUAUAUGUAAUUAAUUUAUAUCUUAGCCUUUUUGAAUUACUUGAAUUAGUAAGUACUUGAAGUUCAAUUUUUUUAAAUAUAUUUGAAGCCCUUGAAUUACUUUAAUUAAGGUCUUGAAGGGCUUAAUGAAUACAUUUAGAGACCUCGAAGGUUACGUAUUAUACAUGUACGUACGUGUUUUUCAUGUUUAACACACGUAUACACGCACAUAUUAUGGAAUAAAAAUAAUAUAUAUUUAAAAAAUACAGUAUAGUGACCGAAUUUUUGGGUUGUAAUGUGCCAAGAUAUUGCCGAAUCAAACACAUACGUAUUUAAUUCGCAUUUUUUUCCCUUCCGUAUUUUACUAACUAUGAAUGAAUGUGAGAGCUCACUUGUUCUAACAAAAAUGCAAGAUAUAUAUUAAGUAAUAUCAUUUAUGAAGUUAAUUAAAAUAUUUAAUAUCAAUUAUUCACUAGAUAAAUAAUAGGUAGGACCUAAUUCAUAAUUCAAGUAAUUAAAUCAGGCUAAGAGAUUGUUUAAUUACUAAAAAUAACCUUUUUUUUUUCUUAAAAAACAUUAUUGACCCUUUUUAAAAUAUAAAAAUAGUAUAGCCGCACGGCUAUACGCGCUUUAAACCCUUUUUUUUCCAGAUUUUAAAAACAGUACAGCCGCAUGGUUUGACACGUGGCGCCUAGGUGCUGGCUAGAUUUUUUAAAUUUUUUUAAAAAUAGUAUAGCCGAGCGGCUAUACUCGCUUUUAACCCUUUUUUUUUUUUUUGAAAAAAAAAAUGUUCAGAACUGUACAGCCGCAAGGUUUGACACGUGGCGCCUAGGUGCUGGCUGGAUCCCUAUUAUGUAUAUAAAUAGUACAGCCGCCCGGCUAUAAUAGAUUUUUAAAUUUUUUUUAAAAAUAGUAUAGCCGCGCGGCUAUACUCGCUUUUAAACCCUUUUUUUUUUUUUUUUUUUUUUUAUAAAUGUUCAGAACAGUACGGCCGCAUGGUUUGACACGUGGCGCCUAGGUGCUGGCUGGAUCCCUAUUAUGUAUAUAAAUAGUACAGCCGCCCGGCUAUAAUAGAUUUUUAAAUUUUUUUUUUGAAAUAGUAUAGCCGCGCGGCUAUACUCGGUUUUAACCCCUUUUUUUUUUAAAAAAAAUGUUCAGAACAGUACGGCCGCAUGGUUUGACACGUGGCGCCUAGGUGCUGGCUGGAUCCCUAUUAUGUAUAUAAAUAGUAUAGCCGCCCGGCUAUACUAGAUUUUCUUAUUUUUUUUUUAAAUAGUAUAGCCGCGCGGCUGUACCCUGCUAACCUAGCGAAUUUUGAAAAUAUAAAAUCAGUUUCUUUACUUUUGAUUUUUGUUGCCAACUUCUUUAAUUUCAUAUAUGUAAUUAAUUUAUAUCUUAGCCUUUUUGAAUUACUUUAAUUAGUAAGUACUUGAAGUUCAAUUUUUUUAAAUAUAUUUGAAGCCCUUGAAUUACUUUAAUUAAGGUCUUGAAGGGCUUAAUGAAUACAUUUAGAGACCUCGAAGGUUACGUAUUAUACAUGUACGUACGUGUUUUUCAUGUUUAACACACGUAUACACGCACAUAUUAUGGAAUAAAAAUAAUAUAUAUUUAAAAAAUACAGUAUAGUGACCGAAUUUUUGGGUUGUAAUGUGCCAAGAUAUUGCCGAAUCAAACACAUACGUAUUUAACUCGCAUUUUUUUCCCUUCCGUAUUUUACUAACUAUGAAUGAAUGUGAGAGCUCACUUGUUCUAACAAAAAUGCAAGAUAUAUAUUAAGUAAUAUCAUUUAUGAAGUUAAUUAAAAUAUUUAAUAUCAAUUAUUCACUAGAUAAAUAAUAGGUAGGACCUAAUUCAUAAUUCAAGUAAUUAAAUCAGGCUAAGAGAUUGUUUAAUUACUAAAAAUAACCUUUUUUUUUUUCUUAAAAAACAUUAUUGACCCUUUUUAAAAUAUAAAAAUAGUAUAGCCGCACGGCUAUACGCGCUUUAAACCCUUUUUUUUCCAGAUUUUAAAAACAGUACAGCCGCAUGGUUUGACACGUGGCGCCUAGGUGCUGGCUAGAUUUUUUAAAUUUUUUUUAAAAUAGUAUAGCCGAGCGGCUAUACUCGCUUUUAACCCCUUUUUUUUUUUGAAAAAAAAAAAUGUUCAGAACUGUACAGCAGCAAGGUUUGACACGUGGCGCCUAGGUGCUGGCUGGAUCCCUAUUAUGUAUAUAAAUAGUACAGCCGCCCGGCUAUAAUAGAUUUUUAAAUUUUUUUUUUUGAAAUAGUAUAGCCGCGCGGCUAUACUCGGUUUUAACCCCUUUUUUUUGUUUUUUUUAAAAUGUUCAGAACAGUACGGCCGCAUGGUUUGACACGUGGCGCCUAGGUGCUGGCUGGAUCCCUAUUAUGUAUAUAAAUAGUAUAGCCGCCCGGCUAUACUAGAUUUUCUUAAUUUUUUUUUAAAUAGUAUAGCCGCGCGGCU
rnacentral:lncRNA from 1 species